CCUUGGUCCGAGGGGUGUUCCGGUUAACGGAACUGAGAUGGCUUUGAGCCGAACCCUUAGAACCUGAUCCGGGUCAUGCCGGCGAAGGGACGGAAUCCUUAGCCUAU
rfam:Labrenzia alba strain CECT 5096 genome assembly, contig: 0010